UCCACCAUAUUUUUUUUAGUAACCAACCCUAGCCGCAGCUCUGAUUCUUUCAUCAUUUUUUUCAUUCGUGUCCAACGUGAAUGUUACUGGUCGAGGAGGAGUCACAACCAACAGCAAUCCGAACCACACCCGGGAGAACUUGAACAAUCUGGACCCAAAAACCCAUUUUCUUCGGUGGAGAAGACAUGUCCGAUUCGUUACCCAAAGCCCUAAUUCUCGAUCUGGGUCCAAACCCAAAACAUAGUUAUCUCCCUUCGGACAUUUUGUCGGUGUUAUCCGUUUCCGGCGUCGGCCCCGGAAAGACCACCAAACCAGCGGAUUUUGGUGGAUUCCAGCAAGGAUGUGAAGGAGGAAAACCGGCAUCUGCGAGCCCGGCCAAAUUAUAUCAGAUAUAAGUUCCAGUUCUAGUUCCAUCACGUGAUACAGUGCAGAGCCCUCUGCAUGCGAUACAAUUCCCUGUCUAUCUCAAGGAUCUUAAGGUGCAACACUUACAAGAUUUGUAAUACUAAUCCACAAGAGACCAGUGACUCAAAGGAGAUUUUCUAUAUGGAUCCUUUGGAAAAGAAUACAACUAAUAAUAAUCUGAAUCACUGGCCUUCAGAAGAACAAGGUUUGCAACUUCUAGAUGAUGUCAAUUUUGCUCCCUCAGGGCUGUUGGACAAAGCUUAGUCUCUUUACUUGCUUUGAACUUGGAUGGAGACUUCUUUGAGAAACUGGCCGGGGGCUUUCAAUCCACCAUAUGCAUUUCUUCGGUUGAUACACUAUCCAGAAAAGCAUAAAAGAUCUUCAAGCUAGUAGUUGAAGUUGAAGAUGAAGCUAGAAAAAAGAAGGUUUGAAGAUGGGGUCGUGGUUGUUUUUUUGAAUUUCCUUGGCCGAUGUAAAAACUUCUAGUACAUUUUGAUGGGUUCUUUUGAGGAAACUUGCGGUUGUUUUCACUACUUUUGUGAAAAAUUCUUUUCAUUGUGUAUACUUUUUUUUGUAAAAACUUGGUGUUCACUACAGCUUUAUUUAUUAGUAAACAAUUUGGAUGGUAUUUUCA